UGCGGGCCGCCCGCAAGUCCGCCCCGGACCGGUCAAUCAACCUUUCUGCCUCACCGACCCUCGGUUCCCCUGGCUACCGCUGCUUUGCGUGUUGUUCCGUUUCAGACAAGCAAACCGAGGCCCGGAGAAUUUAGGAGCUUGGAAAACCAAAAUCCAGUGUGGGCUCUGUCACCCCAACUAUGCAACAUUGAAGUGUAUGAUGGAGAGAAAUCCUGCCGACCAGGAGCUUUCUAAAUGGUGACUAUGGAGAGAUGCCAAGGAAAUUGAAUGGUGCCAAAUGCAAAAUCCUCAAGUUGCUCUCCAAACCAACAGAAAUUCAUUUGGGAGCUAGAUUUCACUGAGGCAGGAAGUAUUUCACCUACAAAGAUAGAGCACAUGUGGAGAUUAUAUUUGGGACCAGAGUGUGACUCUUAGUCACAGAACCUGUCCUCUAAGAAUCGAAAUGCCAAUUGGGGAGACAGAAAAGGAACCAUAAUAAUACAAAGCAUCCUGUGGUAAAUACUGAAUGAUUAAAGGAGUCACUAAUCUUUGGAGACCUCUUCCAUUACUCAUGGUCUUAGGAUCAAGUAAGAGGUGGAACUUAAAUAAUGUCUUCAAGGAUUUGUAGAAAUUAUAGGAAAAAGAGGGAAAUUAAAAGGAUCCCAGCUUUCAAAAAAGUAUAGAAGUAGGAAAGUACAGAGCGCUCAGGAAGACCUCGAACAGAUUCUUUGAACUGAAACAAAGAGUUUGGGCCUCGCAUCUGAAGGGUCUUGACUACCAAAUUAAGAUAUUUGGACAUUACCUUUUUAGGCAGCAAAGAAUCAAAGCCUGUUUCCUGUCUCGGAAGCAACCUAAAUAAAGUACACCUUUAGAAAAACUUUUUUUUAUGAAGGAAAUUUGCAAAACACAGAAAAGCACAGAAAAUAAAAUAAAAGUCACGUGGAAACCCGCCAUCCAGAAAUGCUACACUUUUGAUGGACAAACUUAUAGAAUUUGUUUCUGGUCACAAUUUGUUGUGACCAGAUUCUGGUCAAAAUUUGUUUCUGGUCAAAAUUUGUUUCUGUGUGUGUGUGUGUGCAUGUUUGUGUGUAAACUGGGAUUAUGCUUUAGUCACUCAACAUUAUUUUGCAAGUAUUUUCUUAUUAAAAAUCAUAAUUGCACUAUAUUUCAUCCAAUAAAUGUAAUAUAUUGUGCUUACCCAACUUUCUAUUUUUCAUCCAGGCACAAAGAACUAAAUUAAUCCAAGCUUAACUUAAGCAGUAUGUAGAGUGGGUUGGAGUAAGAAUAAAUUAAGAAUAAGAGUAUCAGUUAUAAGAAGCUAUUGGUCGGGCCAUCCGAGUGGCUCAGUUGGUUAAGAGUUGGCUUAAGAGUGUGGGCUCUGAGCAA